rnacentral:rRNA from 1 species
UGAUUCUAAGGCCAACGGGAGAAGGGUUGUUAAGGAACUCGGCAAGUUGACCCCGUAACUUCGGAAUAAGGGGUGCUCAUGAAAGUGAGCCGCAGAGAAUAGGCCCAGGCAACUGUUUACCAAAAACACAGGUUUGUGCUAAAUCGAAAGAUGACGUAUACGAGCUGACGCCUGCCCGGUGCUGGAAGGUUAAAAGGAGAUGUGCAAGCAUUGAAUUGAAGCCCCAGUGAACGGCGGCCGUAACAAUAACGGUCCUAAGGUAGCGAAAUUCCUUGUCAGGUAAGUUCUGACCCGCAUGAAAGGCGUAAUGAUCUGGGCACUGUCUCAACAGCCCGCCCGGCGAAAUUGUAGUACCGGUGAAGAUGCCGGUUACCCGCGACAAGACGGAAAGACCCCAUGGAGCUUUACUGUAGCCUAAUAUUGGGUUUCGGUGUUGCAUGCACAGGAUAGAUGGGACGCUGGGAAGUGAGUGCUUUGGCAUUCAUGGAGCGGCCGUUGGGAUACCAUCCUUGCGACAUUGGAAUUCUAACCUGCGCCUUUGAAUCAAGGCGGGGGACAUUGUUAGGUGGGCAGUUUGACUGGGGCGGUCGCCUCCUAAAGAGUAGCGGAGGCGUUCAAAGGUUGGCUCGUCCUGGACGGAAACCAGGAGAGAGAGUGCAAACGCAAAAGCCAGCCUGACUGCGAGACUGACGGGUCGAGCAGAGACGAAAGUCGGAGUUAGUGAUCCGGUGGUAUGUGAGUGGAAAUGCCAUCGCUCAACGGAUAAAAGUUACCCCUGGGAUAACAGGCUGAUCUCCCCCAAGAGUCCACAUCGACGGGGAGGUUUGGCACCUCGAUGUCGGCUCAUCGCAUCCUGGGGCUGUAUUCGGUCCCAAGGGUUUGGCUGUUCGCCAAUUAAAGCGGUACGCGAGCUGGGUUCAGAACGUCGUGAGACAGUUCGGUCCCUAUCUGUCGUGGGCGCAGGAUAUUUGAAAGGCGCUGUCCCUAGUACGAGAGGACCGGGAUGGACGAACCUCUGGUGCACCAGUUGUCACGCCAGUGGCACAGCUGGGCAGCUAUGUUCGGAUCGGAUAAACGCUGAAAGCAUCUAAGCGUGAAGCCGGCCUUAAGAUAAGAUAUCCCACUGAGAUAAUCAGGUAAGACCCCUUGAAGACUACAAGGUUGAUAGGCACAAUGUGUAAGUGGCGCGAGUCAUUGAGCAAGCGUGUACUAAUAGGUCGAGGGCUUGAUC